rnacentral:rRNA from 1 species
UAGUCCACGCCGUAAACGAUGGAUACUAGGUGUCCGGGAAGUUAACCUCCUGGGUACUACAGCUAACGCGUUAAGUAUCCCGCCUGGGGAGUACGGUCGCAAGGCUAAAACUCAAAGGAAUUGACGGGGGCCCGCACAAGCGGUGGAGUAUGUGGUUUAAUUCGAAGCAACGCGCAGAACCUUACCUACCCUUAACAUUUCACGCUCGCCUCAGAGAUGAGGUUUUCUCUUCGGAGACGUGAGGAUAGGUGCUGCAUGGCUGUCGUCAGCUCGUGUCGUAAGAUGUCUGGUUAAGUCCAGUGAACGGACGCAACUUUUAUGUUUAAAUAUUUUUUAUUAGGCAAAUUGUUAAGAAAUACUUAAAGGAAGGUGAAAAUGACGUCAAGUCUUCAUGGUCUUUAUGCCUAGGGCGACACACGUGCUACAAUGGUGCAUACAGAGGGUUGCGAAGCAGUGAUAUGGAGCUAAUCUCAGAAAGUGCAUCCCAGUUCGGAUUGGAGUCUGCAACUCGACUCCA